UUGUUUUAUAAAAAUGUCUCCUUAUAGGACUAGUUAUAAAGAUGUCAUUAAGCAUUUAUAUCCUGUCAAAUGCCUUAAUAAAAUAGUCAAGAACCCUAACCCUAACACAAAUAAGUAACGAAACCAUAAAUUCAAUGGUAACAUUAACACAGAUUCCACUAUGGAUUUUAACAGAUGCAAAAGUAGAUUUAGCAUUUAUGGACCAAAAAUAAAUUAAUAAAGAUAAAAAGGAAAAAGAAGUCAUAUUCAAUUCAUAUAUACUGCAGGAAUACAUACAGUAAAUUGUUGUAAAGAUAUUGACAGAUACAUCAGAAAACUCUGCUGGCAACAUAGGAAAAGCAAGUGUUGUACCAAAAGUGCAAAGAAAUCAAAUCAAUAAGGGACUAUCAGUAUACACGGGAGAUUUUUUAUCCAUUCUAUUAGCAUUGCAGUGGAUAGAGUCCUAAAACCAUUAAAAGCAUUGGUAAGUUUGGAUUCAAGUUCAGCACUUAUACGUUUAAAGCAAAGUCACUCAGAAAGCAGACAAGACAUUUUAGUUGAAAUACAGCAUUCGUUGUUCAGAAUUCAGAUGAUGGAAUUAUUUUUUUUAAUGGGUACCAGCAGCCAUUGAAGGCCAAAAUGGCAACAACAAAGGAAAAAUAAUUUUAGUGUAAUUACAAGAAAAUCAGAGGCAAGAAGUGUAGUCAAACAAAUAAAUAAAUAAAAAGUGACAAAAUGAAUGAAAAGAAGCAAAAAAGAGUAGAUUGUAUUAUAUGAUUCAAUAUGAUACAAUCAAGAGAAAUGAGUACAGGACAGAGAAACAGGAGGGAGGAUAAAUUAAUAACAUAAUUAACGUUUGGUCACACAGGACUUAAUUAUAUAUUGCAUAUAUUCAUUUUAAAAAAGAAACAUUAUGGGAAGAUGUCAACAUUGUGUAGAUAUUGUUAUAUUAGCAUGUGGGAGAUAUGAAAAAGAAAGAAGAUGGAUGAUAGAAGACCUUGGAAAGAUUCAAGAAAAAAAUAAUGUAAUAAUUAUAUUGCUGAAAGAUUAAGACAGUAAAAGUAUCAUAAUUUGAUUACAUUUUUUAAAGCCACAAAGGUGGGUAAUGAAAUUUGAGGAUAGCAAGAAAUUAAAUAGAAUUCACUGAUAAUCAUUCUGUGCCCCACACCAUGUCGGUAGAUGGCGGUAGUGCGCACAUGGUGUUUUUUUUGCAAACCGCCAAAAAAAAACUCCACGAAGAAGAACACCACCUUCGUCUUGUGUGCCUGCCUAAUGUAAGCUAGAAGAAACGACUGGACCAGACCAUAUUUUACUUGCGGUGUAAAAGGGAAUAGAGGUAACUCCCCAGAUAAAUAUAAAAGGUAGGCUUAUGCUUAAUAUUUAAUUACAUCUUUUAAGAAAAAACAGUUUUCGUUCUAUGUAAAGUUGAUUUCAGCUAGCUUUCAGUUAACGUUAGCUAAAUUCAACUAACUCUUUAUCUGGAACAUUAGUCCUUAAAAUUGUACACAUUCUAGAAAUUCUGGCAUUUAUAUUUUUUCUCAAAUUUAAAUCUAGUAAACAAUAAACUACCAGGUCAAAGUUACGUUUUGUGUGUUUUACUAAAGCAACUUAACUGAUGUCACAUGCUGCUUGUGUUCUUUUUUUGUGCCAAUUUUAGCGAGAUGGAGACUCGUUUUGGCAAAAAGACACGCGAUGGGGGGGUACAGGACGCUGUCGAAGAAGUGCAAGAGGUUGUGGAGGAGGCUUUCGUGGACAAGCCACAAGAUUUAGAACUUGCCUCCGUUGGUCGAAAGCCAAAGAAGCAAAUGAAAUAUUCCCCAAGGAAAUUGUGGUCACCAACGGGGGCAGUGGAGUUGACCAAACUGAAACAACAAGCAAAGAUGGAUAGACAGAAGAUUGAUCACCUUGAGGACCGCAUUAAAUACCUGGAGGAGGCCAACAGGGAGCUGAAAAAGAUUCUGCCUCACCUUGCCUUUCUUUGUGUAAGAAGACUUCCUUCUUACACAAAUUAAGGAAGCCACUGUGGCACCUGCAUCUAGCAGCAAGUCAGGCUCUAGAGAGAUUGCUCAGGUUCCUCUAUCUUCAACAUCUACUACCCCCUCCUCUUCUUCCACAGACUUAAGCUCCUCAUCAUCUUCAGAGGAAGAGGAAAAAAAGAAGAAGAAAAAGAAGACCAAAAAGUCCAAGAAACACUCUGAUUCGUACAGCCGUUCAAGAAUGACCACAGUGGAUGGAGUUAUCAACCGCUAUGAGAGUGCCCUGAAGAGAUUCACUAAGUUUGGAUCUAUGAAAAAGGCCUUCAACAAGAUUAAAGUUGACCGCAACACCAUUGCGAGGACAGCUGUUAUUGCUGAGCUUGCAAUAACCUUUCCUGACACCUUCAAGGAGCUGCUCCCAGGAAACCACAAUAAUGAGAAGAUCUCCCAGUUUGCAGAGCGUUGUAGGAAUGCUAUACCAAAAGAGAUGGCUGAAACCAUCACAGCAAAAAAAAGAAGUGGAAAACUCCUCCCAAUAAUGUACAAGUACACUUAGACUAUUACUUUUAAACAACUUGUUUUUUUUUUGUUUUUUUUUUGUUGAGUUGUGUGUUUAGUUUUUUUUAUUUGUAUUUCAGAAGUAAAAUCUGCUGAACAAGAAGUUGCACCCUCUGUUUGGGGAAGAACAACUUUUUCUUUUUUGUUAAAAGUACUGAAGGUUUGUGCUCAAACACGGCCAGAAAUUGAACCCUCUGUUGGAGGAAGAAAAAAAUUGUUCAAAGCAAAUAAAAGAAAGUGUUUGUGUUUA